rnacentral:rRNA from 1 species
UACGGGGGGGGCAAGCGUUGUUCGGAAUUACUGGGCGUAAAGGGUUCGUAGGUGGCCAACUAAGUCAAACGUGAAAUCCCUCGGCUCAACCGGGGAACUGCGUCUGAUACUGGGUGGCUUGAAUCCGGGAGAGGGAUGCGGAAUUCCAGGUGUAGCGGUGAAAUGCGAAGAUAUCUGGAGGAACACCGGUGGCGAAGGCGGCAUCCUGGACCGGUAUUGACGCUGAGGCGCGAAAGCCAGGGGAGCAAACGGG